rnacentral:lncRNA from 1 species
GCCAUUAAAUUUAAAAUAGGAAAACUUUGGGAAGAUUACAAACCCUGAAAAAUGAAGACUUGGUGGCUUGCAGUUCCUUCUCCUUCUCCAAGAUGAGGUGGUUGGGUUGCUGAUGAGGACAGGCUGCUGUGAAGUUCUGCUUCAAGGUCUGAUGGUCGUCAAUUCUUCCAAGCCAAAGCCAGGAAUGCCACUUCUACCAUCUGCAUAGUGCCAUAUACACAGAAGAAAUCCAGCCAGCAGAGGAAACAGAUUGCCUAGCAGAAGCCAGAGGGUGACCACCAGGCUCGAGGAACAGGAACAAAGAUCUAGAGUUGAAAACAAAAAACUGACUUUCUAUAAACAAUUUUGGGAUAAAUCAUACCAAUUAAAUAUUGACAGAUGAAGAGCAGUGAUUAUUAAAAAGUAAACAAGGACCACCUUGAGAGCUAAAUCAAGAGCAAAACCCAGGUAUAAAAAAGUUUUUGUUUCUUUUUUAAUGGAGGAAAAAUAUAUAUGGAGGAAGAAAUGAUGUAUCCACUAUGUCAAGGUUAAAAAAUGGUAUCCAAAAAAAA